rnacentral:rRNA from 1 species
UCGCGGCGGCGUGCGCAGAAGGGUCUGGGCUCGAGCCUGCCUGGAGCCGCCGCCGGUGCAGAUCUUGGUGGUAGUAGCAAAUACUCCAGCGAGGCCCUGGAGGACUGAUGUGGAGAAGGGUUUCGUGUGAACAGCCGUUGCACACGAGUCAGUCGAUCCUAAGCCCUAGGAGAAAUCCGACGCCUACGGCGACGGGAUUUUUUUUGAACGUUGAAAUCGACCCGUUGAUCGGGCGAAAGGGAAUCCGGUUCCUAUUCCGGAACCCGGCAGCGGAACCGCUGUUUGUCGGGCCCUCACAAGGGGUUCGUCAGGGUAACCUAAAAGGGCCCGGAGACGCCGUCGGGAGCCCCGGAAAGAGUUUUCUUUUCUGCAUGAGCGUUCGAGUUCCCUGGAAUCCUCUCGCAGGGAGAUAGGGUUUGGAACGCGAAGAGCACCGCAGUUGCGGCGGUGCCCGGGAAUUCCCGACGGACCUUGAAAAUCCGGGAGAGGGCCACGUGGAGGUGUCGCGCCGGCUCGUACCCAUAUCCGCAGCAGGUCUCCAAGGUGAAGAGCCUCUAGUCGAUAGAAUAAUGUAGGUAAGGGAAGUCGGCAAAUCGGAUCCGUAACUUCGGG